GACAGAGGUGCCAAGCGUUAGGCGGAAUCACUGGGCUUAAAGCGUGUGUAGGCGGAUUCCUAAGUACCUUGUGAAAUCCCACGGCUCAACCGUGGAACUGCUUGGUAUACUGGGUGUCUUGAGCCACUUAGGGGCUACCGGAACAAAUGGUGGAGCGGUGAAAUGCGUAGAUAUCAUUUGGAACGCCAAUGGUGAAAACAGGUAGCUGGGAGUGUGCUGACGCUGAGACACGAAAGCUAGGGGAGCAAACAGG
rnacentral:rRNA from 1 species